CAGGAGAAGCUGUGCCCCGGUGAUCAAGCCUUGAAGUGCAUUUCAUGAUUGGUGUGGGAAACUGUAGGAACAUUGGAAUACUGUUUAAUGAGGAGAAAGUAGAGUAAAAGCAACAGACAGGGUGAAAACAGGUGAGAGACCAUGGUUUGACCUUAAGGGUAGAGAAAAUAUCCUCACUGAUGCAUGAGUGGCGUGAAAGGAGGAAGAAAUGACUCUCAGAUACAUGAAGAUGGAUGAGUUUGCUGCUGGUUUAAUAUUUCCUGUGCAUCCCUAGCGCAGGUCCAGGUCCUACUUCCAUGAAUCAGAUCAACUUCAAGGACAGCUGGAAAAACUGAUGCUGACUUUCAGAAAGGUUUGGGAGUCAGUGAGAACAAGACUAGGGCAUGUGGGACUGGCAGAAGGAGCCAGAGGCCAUGUGGGCUGCCAAACAGUUGGAAGUACCAGAAUUCACUGUCUGUUUGCAGGAGCAGCAUCAGCUACAGGCUUCCCUUGUGACCUUGACCUUAGACUACAUCUCAGCUGUGACACUCAGGAAGGCUCCAAGAUUUUUAGCUUGUGUGCUGGACGUGUUCAGACCUCAUAUCCAUAUUUGGGUUAGUCCUUGGUGUGCACCAACCUCCUUCCAUUCGAACUCUGUGGAAAAACCUGUACUCCUCCCAGGUCCCAUUUGCAGUGACUGGAGGACAGGUCUUGCCAUGUUGAGGACACACAGGUCACUUUGGUGGCAGCCUAAAUCUGCGUUUUUGCUUUGGUUCUUCAUAUGCAAAAUAGAAAUAAUAGUUUUCUACUUUGAAUAGGCCAUUGCCUUUCCUCUAUAAUAAGACAGUAAAUACAACCACUUUAUAAUCACAAAGUUAAUCUUAAUAAUUUUAUGUAAAUACAUACAUAGUAAGGGGUUGUGAAGUCCCUCUGUAUUGAAGCCAAGAUAUGGACAGUUACCUUAUCAAAACCCCAGGUAUUUAUUACAGUCUAUCUUCCUACAAAAUCUCUUUCUGCCUCCUGCCUGCACCAUGGAAGGGGUCCAUGAAGUCACCACCUUAGGUACCUGUAUCCACAUGGCUACAAGCAGAAGUUUUGUCAUGAAAUGGGCUGUGAGAUAGAAAUUAUGGACCAAAUCAUAGGGAUUAAUCAAUGUUUUCAGCACUGGCAGUCUG